rnacentral:lncRNA from 1 species
CCUAGUGAAACUCAUGUUACUAGUACUUGAUUCAGGCUGAGGCGCUAUGAAAACUGCCUUGGAAUAUGCAUCCUCUAGAAAGGUGUAUAGCAUCUCCAUUUAAAUAUCAAAAAUAGUUAUAGGCUUUAUGUUAGUCAUUAAAUGGUGAUUUCUAAACACAUAUUCUUGCUAUCUUAACAGACAAUGGGGCCUAUGUAGGAGUGAUCUGGAUUACUCCUAGAACUUGAUUGUAUGAUCUAUUCACAGUCUCUUCCAGGAUACCUUUCUCCAGCUUACAAUGGUUUUAAAGCAGUGGAAAAAUAUACCUUUUAAGAACACUGAUUGGCAAAAGCCUAACUUGAUAGUAGAUUUCUUUUAAAUAUCUGUGUCUUCUGAUUUCUCUAAAAUAGGAACUUUCUAAAUGAUAGGUCCAACAACUUGCCAGAAAUACAUGAAAAACUUGGUGUGUGUAAUGAUAGUCUUUUUAUUUUUUAGGAUCUCAGAAACCCUUCCGUGGUCUCUCUUACACCCACCACUUUCAAUGAACUAGUUAAACAGAGAAAACAUGACGAAGUCUGGAUGGUUGAUUUCUAUUCUCCAUGGUGUCAUCCCUGUCAGGUCUUAAUGCCAGAGUGGAAACGCAUGGCCCGGACGUUAACUGGAUUGAUCAAUGUAGGCAGUGUGGACUGCCAACAGUAUCAUUCUUUUUGUACUCAAGAAAAUGUCCAGAGAUACCCUGAGAUAAGAUUUUAUCCCCAAAAGUCAAGUAGAGCUUAUCAGUAUCAUAGUUACAAUGGCUGGAAUAGGGAUGCUUAUUCCCUGAGAAGCUGGGGUCUCGGGUUUUUACCCCAAGCAUCCAUAGAUUUAACACCUCAGACAUUCAACGAAAAAGUUCUACAAGGGAAAACUCACUGGGUGAUUGAUUUCUAUGCUCCUUGGUGUGGACCUUGCCAGAAUUUUGCUCCCGAGUUUGAACUCUUGGCUAGGAUGAUCAAAGGGAAAGUAAAAGCUGGGAAAGUGGACUGUCAGGCUUACCCCCAAACGUGCCAGAAAGCUGGCAUCAGAGCCUACCCCAGUGUCAAACUGUACCUCUAUGAAAGAGCAAAGGAUGAGCUCUGAUGAUAUUGAAGAAAAAAGAAUUAUAAGGAAAAGAAUCUGGAAAAUGGCAUCAGAGGAUCCCUUUCCCAAGUCAAGCUGCUCUUGAGGAAGCAGGUGCACAUGACCUGGGACAGGAGACACCUGUGCAGUGCUGCACCUGCAGAUGCUUCCUGUGGAGAGCCAGGUGGCCAGUGGGACUGGCGUCCACAUAGGGUUCUUUGUUGUGUCUUUGUUGU